rnacentral:rRNA from 1 species
UACGAAGGGGGCUAGCGUUGUUCGGAAUUACUGGGCGUAAAGCGCGCGCAGGCGGUCUUCCAAGUCAGUGGUGAAAGCCCGGAGCUCAACUCCGGAACUGCCAUUGAAACUGUUGGACUUGAGGAUGAGAGAGGUGAGUGGAAUUCCCAGUGUAGAGGUGAAAUUCGUAGAUAUUCGCAAGAACACCAGUGGCGAAGGCGGCUCACUGGCCCGGUACUGACGCUGAGGUGCGAAAGCGUGGGGAGCAAACAGG